rnacentral:tRNA from 1 species
GGUUGUGGCUCAGUGGUAGAGCGCUUGCCAAGCAUGCUUGAGGUGCUGAGUACGAUCCUCAGUACCA